CAGCAGCCGCGGUAAUACGUAGGUCCCGAGCGUUGUCCGGAUUUAUUGGGCGUAAAGCGAGCGCAGGCGGUUAGAUAAGUCUGAAGUUAAAGGCUGUGGCUUAACCAUAGUACGCUUUGGAAACUGUUUAACUUGAGUGCAGAAGGGGAGAGUGGAAUUCCAUGUGUAGCGGUGAAAUGCGUAGAUAUAUGGAGGAACACCGGUGGCGAAAGCGGCUCUCUGGUCUGUAACUGACGCUGAGGCUCGAAAGCGUGGGGAGCGAACAGGAUUAGAUACCCCUGUAGUCCCUGUCUCUUAUACA
rnacentral:rRNA from 1 species